rnacentral:tRNA from 1 species
GCCUGGGUGGCUCAGUCGGUUGAGCGUCCGACUUCGGCUCAGGUCAUGAUCUCGCAGUUCGUGAGUUCGAGCCCCACAUCGGGCU